rnacentral:rRNA from 1 species
AUGGCUCAGGAUGAACGCUAGCGACAGGCUUAACACAUGCAAGUCGAGAGGCAUCACGGGAGUAGCAAUACAACUGGUGGCGACCGGCGCACGGGUGAGUAACGCGUAUGCAACCUACCUAUCAGAGGGGAAUAACCCGGCGAAAGUCGGACUAAUACCGCAUAAAACAGGGGCACCGCAUGGUGAUAUUUGUUAAAGAAAUUCGCUGAUAGAUGGGCAUGCGUUCCAUUAGGUAGUUGGUGAGGUAACGGCUCACCAAGCCGACGAUGGAUAGGGGAACUGAGAGGUUGGUCCCCCACACUGGUACUGAGACACGGACCAGACUCCUACGGGAGGCAGCAGUGAGGAAUAUUGGUCAAUGGGCGGGAGCCUGAACCAGCCAAGUCGCGUUGAAGGAAGAAGGAUCUAUGGUUCGUAAACUUCUUUUGCAGGGGAAUAAAGUGCAGGACGUGUCCUGUUUUGUAUGUACCCUGAGAAUAAGGAUCGGCUAACUCCGUGCCAGCCGCCGC